rnacentral:lncRNA from 1 species
UUGGAUGCUCCUUUCAGCAAUUUUGUUUUGUCUUGCAGGCCAUAUCAACAAUCAGUAUAAUACAUGUUUCUGGAUGCUUGUUAAGUCUGGAAAAAGCAAAAUUCAAGCCCAGGAUUACUUAAAGGUGCUUUGUUCGAGUAGCCAAUGCUCCCUCUUAGUUCAAUGAAUAAAUGGCUUGUCACUUACAUUUGGCUCUGUUUCAGGGUACCCAGACACGAGAAAAAAACGAGUUACUUAGCCAGCAAUUUGGAAUUGAGUACAAUUCAUUACCUGUAAUCUUCCGCAUGGGUUCUUCCGUUUUCCGCCUAAAGGUGCUACUUUUAUUAUCAUACUCCAAAAUCCUUCUAGUGUUUCAUAGCAGAUUCUUAUUAUUGUGAAGAAAAGAAGGGUCCUUUCAAGAGAAACCUUUUAAGGCAUUCUUGUUUUUACAAGUGGUCUGAAAUAGUUUUAAACAAGUGGUCUGAAAUAAGUGGUCUGAAAUAGUUUUUACAUUUA